ACAUUUGAGAAAAACCGAAAAAUUAUUAUCCUAAUAAUUAAUAAUUUUGUGUAGGAUAUAAUCAAUAGUCCAUUUAAUAAAGCAUAUUUAUAAAUUUGUUAAUAUCUUCGUCGUGAUAUUUUACUCUCACGGACAAAUAAUUACUCUAAACAUAUAUAUUUUUAAAAAACAUGCAUCCGAAUAAGCCCUAAUUUUUCAACUAGGACUCCAUAAAGUGGCAAAACACAAUCGUAAGUAAUAAUCUUUAUAAUUAAAAAUGGAUAGAAGUUGUUAUUUAAUUAUUUAUUUAUUUUUACCUUCGAGACAAACUAAAAAUUUAUGAUUCUAUUAAAUGAUAAAUUUUUAGGAUAUAUUUGAUAGUUGAUUUAUUUAAUUAUAUUGAUAUAUACUUAUUUGAAGUUGCUUUUAUAUUUAUUUUUUGUUUUAGAAGUAAUAAGGUACUUGUUCAACACCCUAGAGUUUUGAAUUUAUACAUGUUUGAAAAAAUAAAAUAAAACACAAUUUACGUAAACAUAAGAGUAUAUUCGAAGAAAAGUCAUAAGCAAACAAGAUAAUCA
rnacentral:lncRNA from 1 species